rnacentral:rRNA from 1 species
AUUGAACGCUGGCGGAAUGCUUUACACAUGCAAGUCGAACGGUAGAGGGGGCAACCCCUCGAGAGUGGCGAACGGGUGAGUAAUAUAUCGGAACGUGCCCAGUCGUGGGGGAUAACGUAGCGAAAGUUACGCUAAUACCGCAUACGAUCUAAGGAUGAAAGCGGGGGAUCGCAAGACCUCACGCGAUUGGAGCGGCCGAUAUCAGAUUAGGUAGUUGGUGGGGUAAAGGCUCACCAAGCCAACGAUCUGUAGCUGGUCUGAGAGGACGACCGGCCACACUGGAGCGACGACACGGUCCAGACUCCUACGGGAGGCAGCAGUGGGGAAUUUUGGACAAUGGACGCAAGUCGGAUCCAGCCAUUCCGCGUGCAGGAUGAAGGCCCUCGGGUUGUAAACUGCUUUUGUACGGAACGAAAAGGUCUCUCUUAAUACGGGGGGCUCAUGACGGUACCGUAAGAAUAAGCACCGGCUAACUACGUGCCAGCCGCCGCGGUAA